rnacentral:rRNA from 1 species
GAUGAACGCUAGCGAUAGGCUUAACACAUGCAAGUCGAGGGGCAGCAUGGUCUUAGCUUGCUAAGACUGAUGGCGACCGGCGCACGGGUGCGUAACGCGUAUGCAACUUGCCUCACAGAGGGGGAUAACCCGUCGAAAGACGGACUAAUACCGCGUACACUCUAUUUUGGGCAUCCAAGGUAGAGGAAAUGAAAUUCGCUGUGAGAUAGGCAUGCGUCCCAUUAGCUAGUUGGUGAGGUAACGGCUCACCAAGGCGACGAUGGGUAGGGGAACUGAGAGGUUGAACCCCCACACUGGUACUGAGACACGGACCAGACUCCUACGGGAGGCAGCAGUGAGGAAUAUUGGUCAAUGGGCGAGAGCCUGAAUCAGCCAAGUCGCGUGAAGGAUGACUGUCUUAUGGAUUGUAAACUUCUUUUGUAGGGGAAUAAAGAGGGGCACGUGUGCCCCAGUGAAUGUACCCUACGAAUAAGCAUCGGCUAACUCCGUG